rnacentral:rRNA from 1 species
AUGAUUUAGCCUUGCAUGUCUAAGUAUCGUGAUUAUAGUGCAAAACUGCGAAUGGCUCAUUAUAACUGUUGUAAUUUGAUUGAUUUGACUUUUAAAUGGAUAUCCCUGGUACAUCCAGGGCUAAUACAUGCCUGAACGGAUUUUAUCCGUGCUUUGAGAACUUUAAAAACACGAGUUUGUGAAUGUGUCUCACCAAGUAAAUCAUUUUGAUAAAUCAAAGAAGCUUCUGACCCAUCAGCUUUGAUGGUAGUGUAUUGGAAUACCAUGGCUUCUACGGGUGACGAGGAAUUAGGGUUCGAUUUCGGAAAGGGAGCUUGAGAAAUGGCUACCACAUCUNAGGGAGGCAGCAGGCGCGCAAAUUACCCAAUCCUGACCAAGGGAGGUAGAGACGAGCAGUAGCAAUGAGAAGCCUUUGGUUUCUCAAUUGGAAUGGGUGUGUGUUAAAUCUUCACACGAGUAACCAUUGGAGGGAAAGUCUGAUGCCAGCAGCCGCGGUAAUUCCAUCUCCAAUAGCGUAUUUCAAAGUUGUUGCGGUUAAAACGUUCGUUGUCGUAUUUCUGCUUCGGGUGUUUCCUUUCCAAAGGGGACAUUCGAGCAUUAGUGUGGGCGGUUUUCGUCACUUAACUGUGCCGAUGCAUAAACCCGCACUGAUUAUUUUGAGGAAAUUAGAGUGUUUUAAACAAGCAUGGUAUGAGUAUAAUAGCAUGGGACAAUGUGAAACGGGGACGAGAUUAGCGUGGCUUUUGGCUCGGCCCAAUUUUCAAAAGGAGCAUUUGGGGGUAUUCGUAUUGAGCUGCUAGAGGUGAAAUUCUUGGAUUUUUUUAAGACGAACAAAUGCGAAAGCAUUUACCAAGAAUGUUUUCAUUGAUCAAGAACGAUAGCUAGGGGAUCGAAGACGAUUAGAUACCGUCCUAGUCUUAACAGUAAACUAUGCCGACU